AUGCCCCUGACCUUGUCCCCUCUGUCCUGUCCCCCAGCGGAUCUGUACUCCGCCGAGCCUGGGGAGGAGGAGCCGGCAUGGGUGCAGACGGAGAGGCAGCAGUUCCGGGACUUCCGGGAUCUAAACAAGGACGGGCACCUGGACGGGAGUGAAGUGGGCCACUGGGUGCUGCCCCCGGCCCAGGACCAGCCCCUGGUGGAAGCCAACCACCUCCUGCACGAGAGCGACACGGACAAGGAUGGGCGGCUGAGCAAAGCGGAGAUCCUGAGUAAUUGGAACAUGUUUGUGGGCAGUCAGGCCACCAACUAUGGUGAGGACCUGACCCGGCACCACGAUGAGCUGUGAGCUCCGUGCACCUGCCACAGCCUCAGGGGCCCCGCACAGUAACCCGAGCCCCGUGCACCUGCCACAGCCUCAGGCCCCCACACAGUGACCCAAGGAGGGGCUGCCGUGGUCUAGGCCCCUCCCUGUCCAGGCCCUGCAGGAGGCAGAUGCAGUCCCUGGCAUCCUCCUGCUCAUGGGCUCUCAGGAACCCCUUGGGUCAGCUUCUGUCCCUGUCAUACCCCCAACCCCGGGGAGGGGCCGUCACAGUCCCAGAGGAUAAGCAACACCUAUUUCUGACUGAGUCUCCCAGCCCAGACCCAGGGACCCUGGCCCCAAGCUCAGCCUCUAAAAACCGCCACCAACCCCUCCAGCUCCGAAUCUGAGCCUCCACCACACAGACUGAAGCUCCCCUGGCCCCAGCCCUCUCCUGCCUGGCCCGGCCUGGGACACCUCCUCCCUGCCAGGAGCCAAUAAAAGCCAGCGCCGGGACCUUGUGUGUCUGUGUCUGUCUGUUGUCUGCCUGUCUCUAUGAAGGGGAAAGGGGCCCUGGAGACGGUUUGGGGGCUGUGACUGGGAGUUGGGGGCUGAGGCAUGCAAUAGGGGACCAGGCAUUUGAAGCUGGGUGUUGGAGGGAUUGGAGGGCGUUCUGGGUAUAAAAACAAACAAACGAACAAAAUUGGGCCUGGCCCAGUGGCUCAGGCCUGUAAUUCCAGCAAUUUGGGAGGCCGAGGCAGGCGUUCCAAACUCCUGAGGUCAGGAGUUCGAGACCAGCCUGGCCAACAUGGUGAAAUCCUAUCUCUACUAGAAAUACAAAAAUUAGCCGGGCAUGGUGGCGGGCGUCUGUAGUCCCAGCUACUCCGGAGGCUGAAGCAGGAGAAUCGCUUGAACCCGGGAGCUGGAGGUUGUAGUGAGCUGAGAUGGUGCCACUGCACUCCAGCCUGGGUGACAGAGCGAGACUCUGUCUCAAAAAAAAAAAAAAAAGGAAAAAAAAGUCUGGCCUCUGCAGCACACAAACCAGACAGGAAGCCCUGCCGCCCUCACAGAGCCCCAGUUCUGUGGGGAAGAAGAGACACAGCGACCUAAAACAUGCCACGGCGUGACAGACGCUGUGAAGCAGGGGAAGCGUGUAGCAGUGUGGCAAUGCUCUGAUCACUGAGUGGCCGGGAAAGGUCUCAAUGAUAAAUGGCGUGAAGGAGGGAGCCACGGAGAGAUGUGGAGGGAGAGCACUCCAGGGAGAGAGAAGAGCAAGUAAAAUGGCACUGAGGCAGGAGUGGGCCUGGUGUGGCAGCAAGGAGGCUAGAGUGGCUGGAAGGGCAUGAGCCAGGGGAAGAAGGUCAACUGAAAGCAGAUGGGGCAUGCGGCCAGACUCUGCAGGUCCCUGCAGGCAGGUCAUGGUGGUCCCUGUUUGGUGGGACAAGACAGAGAUGGACAGAGACCCAGAGAGAAGGGGAUGGGGACUCAGAGAGAGAGGGACAGAGACCCAGAGAGAGGGGGCAGAAAGAGAGAGGGAAACAGAGACCCAGAGAGAGGGGGACAGCGACCCAGAGAGAGAGGGGGACAGAAUUUAUUCUGAGUGAAAUGAGAGCCGCUGGAGUGUAAUGAGCAGAGGAAGGAUUAUAAACAGCUUUGAGUUAUUUAAGAGUCGGGUUGGGCGCAGUGGUUCACGCCAGUAAUCCCAAGGAUUAAUCAAGGGUUGUUUGAGCCCAGGAGUUCAAGACCAGCCUGGGAUGAUCUUUCAUGAAGACAGCAUCUCUCUUUUUCUUUCUUUGCUUUUUUUUUUUGAGACGGAGUCUCACUCUGUCGCCCAGGCUGGAGUGCAGUGGU
rnacentral:lncRNA from 10 species